rnacentral:rRNA from 1 species
CCUACGGGAGGCAGCAGUGGGGGAUAUUGCACAAUGGGGGAAACCCUGAUGCAGCGACGCCGCGUGAGGGAAGACGGUCCUCUGGAUUGUAAACCUCUGUCUUCGGGGACGAAACGAGACGGUACCCGAGGAGGAAGCCACGGCUAACUACGUGCCAGCAGCCGCGGUAAUACGUAGGUGGCAAGCGUUGUCCGGAAUUACUGGGUGUAAAGGGAGCGUAGGCGGGCAGGCAAGUCAGGCGUGAAAUAUAUCGGCUCAACCGGUAACGGCGCUUGAAACUGCAGGUCUUGAGUGAAGUAGAGGUUGGCGGAAUUCCUAGUGUAGCGGUGAAAUGCGUAGAUAUUAGGAGGAACACCAGUGGCGAAGGCGGCCAACUGGGCUUUUACUGACGCUGAGGCUCGAAAGUGUGGGGAGCAAACAGGAUUAGAUACCCCAGUAG